AUUUCCAUCGCAGCUUGAGCCUGCUUUAAGCAAACUACACACUGGAGCUAAUUAGCCAGACCUUCUGUUUCAGUAAUCACCAGUACAGAGGGAAGGGAAACAACCACCCACAACCUGAGAGGCCAUGGCACCUCUUUGCUGAAAUUCCAGCAUCUUUCUCUCCUGAUUCAUAAAGGAUCAACAACAGCCUGGCAUAGUCAUUCCUAACAACUCCCUGGAUGGCAAGAGGAGGGAAAAUAAACCCAAAGCCAGAGCUUUAGAUCAUAUUCAGCUCUGUCUCAAAAAGACAUUGCUGCAAGGAUUAGAUGUUCCUGGUUUCUUUCUCCUGCCAACAGUUCAGUUUGUGUCUGCAACACUCUGCUGUGCUACCUGGCGGAAGGUACCUGGAUAUGGUGUUAGCUGAUAACACAGAGCAGUGACAAAUAAUGCCAUUAGACCAGAUUGUGUUUCACCUGCUGGAGAGGAAUGGUGCUUAGAAGUCUGUAAAAGUUGACUGAGAGAUUACGUGCUUUUAAUUAUUAAGGAGUUAUAUAAAACUCCUCCCCAAAUCCAUUUAAUGUUCCUGUAAUCUAUCUUCUCAAACAUGGCAAGUUCACCAAUCCACCUCUGGUCUCUGCUGAAGUUGUGGGGACUUUCAUGCAGAGGCAGACUGUAGUACCUUCAGACCCCUUUGUCAGAAGUAAUGGAGAUGGACGAAAGAGAGUCUGCCAGUAUUCCUUGAACCACCCGGCAAACAUAGGGCAGGAGAAACAAUGUCUCCUCCUCAUGGCUCAGCCAGUGACAAGAAGAGAGGGGAUAUGCUAUUCACCUUCAAC